ensembl:lncRNA
AUCCCAAGGCUUUUAUCCACCCCACCACUAGACAGCACCACUCAUCCCAAGGCCUUUAUCCACCCCACAACUAGACAGCACCACUCAUCCCAAGGCCUUUAUCCAGCCCACCACUAGACAGCACCACUCAUCCCAAGGCCUAUAUCCACCUCCUAGAUAGGCCUAUAUCCACUCCCUAUAUCCACCCCACCCCCUAGAUAGGCCUAUAUCCACUCCCUAUAUCCACCCCACCCCCUAGACAGGCCUAUAUCCACUCCCUAUAUCCACCCCACUCCCUAGAUAUACCUAUAUCCACCCCCUAUAUCCACCCCACCCCCUAGAUAGACCUAUAUCCACUCCCUAUAUCCACCCCCUAUAUCCACUCCACCCCCUAGAUAGGCCUAUAUCCACCCCCUAUAUCCAUCACCUAUAUCCACUCCACACCCUCGAUAGGCCUAUAUCCACUCCACCCCUACAUAGACCUAUAUCCACCCCCUAUAUCCACUCCACGCCUAGAUAGGCCUAUAUCCACCCCCUAUAUCCACUCGACCACCUAGAUAGGCCUAUAUCCACCACCUAUAUCCACUCCAC